rnacentral:rRNA from 1 species
GAUGAACGCUGGCGGCGUGCCUAAUACAUGCAAGUCGAGCGAACGGACGAGAAGCUUGCUUCUCUGAUGUUAGCGGCGGACGGGUGAGUAACACGUGGAUAACCUACCUAUAAGACUGGGAUAACUUCGGGACACCGGCGCUAAUACCGGAUAAUAUUUUGAACCGCAUGGUUCAAAAGUGAAAGACGGUCUUGCUGGCACUUAUAGAUGGAUCCGCGCUGCAUUAGCUAGUUGGUAAGGUAACGGCUUACCAAGGCAACGAUGCAUAGCCGACCUGAGGGGGUGAUCGGCCACACUGGAACGGGGACACCGUCCAUGGUACUGCGGGAGGCAGCAGUAGGGAACGUGCGGCAGUAGGCGAGAGUCUUGCGGAGCGGCGCCGCGUCAGUGAUGGAGGUCUUGGGAUCGUAAUACUCUGUUACGAGUUAAGAACAGAUUUGGAAGUAGCUGUGGAGAGCUUGACGGUAACGAAUCAGAAAGCCACGGCUAACUACGUG